UCCAGACUCCUACGGGAGGCAGCAGUGGGGUCUCUUUCACAAUGUUUUUCCCCCUGAUUCAUCUCCGCCGCGUUUUUUCAGGGGCGUUUCUUCGCGUAAAUCCCUCUCGGCAGGCCCUACUGAGGACGUUCCCUGACUAAGAACCCCCGGCUAACUACGUGCCAGCAGCCGCUGGAAUACGUAGGGGGCAAGCGUUAUCCGGAUUUACUGGGUGUAAAGGGGGCGCAGACGGCAGCGCAAGCCAGGAGUGAAAGCCCGGGGCCCAACCCCGGGACUGCUCUUGGAACUGCGCGGCUGGAGUGCAGGAGGGGCAGGCGGAAUUCCUGGUGUAGCGGUGAAAUGCGUAGAUAUCAGGAGGAACACCGGGGGAGAAGGAGGCCUGCUGGACUGCGACUGACGUUGAGGCCCGAAAGCGUGGGGAGCAAGCAGGAUUAGAUACCCCAGUAC
rnacentral:rRNA from 1 species